UACGGAGGGUGCAAGCGUUGUCCGGAAUCACUGGGCGUAAAAGGGCGCGUAGGCGGCCUGGUAAGUAGGGGGUGAAAUCCUGCGGCUUAACCGCAGGGGCUGCCUUCUAAACUGUCAGGCUUGAGCACGGUAGAGGCAGAUGGAAUUCCCGGUGUAGCGGUGGAAUGCGUAGAGAUCGGGAAGAACAUCAGUGGCGAAGGCCGGUCUGCUGGGCCGUUGCUGACGCUGAGGCGCGACAGCGUGGGGAGCAAACAGG
rnacentral:rRNA from 1 species